GUGCUCACGUCAGCAGCACAUAUACUAAAAUUGCAACAAUGCAGAGAAGAUUACCAUGGCCUUGGUGCAAGGAUGACACGCAAAUUUGUGAAGCAUUUCAUAUUUUU